rnacentral:rRNA from 1 species
UGCCAGACUCCUACGGGAGGCAGCAGUGAGGAAUAUUGGUCAAUGGGCGGGAGCCUGAACCAGCCAAGUCGCGUGAGGGAUGACGGCCCUAUGGGUUGUAAACCUCUUUUGCCGGGGAGCAAGGCCGCCGACGUGUCGGCGGAAGGAGAGUACCCGUAGAACAAGCAUCGGCUAACUCCGUGCCAGCAGCCGCGGUAAUACGGAGGAUGCGAGCGUUAUCCGGAUUUAUUGGGUUUAAAGGGUGCGUAGGCGGAAUGCCAAGUCAGCGGUAAAAUCGCGGGGCUCAACCUCGCUCCGCCGUUGAAACUGGCGUUCUUGAGUGGGCGAGAAGUAUGCGGAAUGCGUGGUGUAGCGGUGAAAUGCAUAGAUAUCACGCAGAACUCCGAUUGCGAAGGCAGCAUACCGGCGCCCAACUGACGCUGAAGCACGAAAGCGUGGGUAUCGAACAGGAUUAGAUACCCCUGUA